GAAGCGAUAUAGCGGCGAUGUCCGAAUGGGGAAACCCAGUGCAAUGCGUUGCACUAUCAUUAACUGAAUCCAUAGGUUAAUGAGGCGAACCGGGGGAACUGAAACAUCUCAGUACCCCGAGGAAAAGAAAUCAACCGAGAUUCCCCCAGUAGCGGCGAGCGAACGGGGAGCAGCCCAGAACCAGCAUCAGCCAUAGCAUCAGAGGAACGGUCUGGAAAGGCCGGCGAGAGAGGGUGACAGCCCCGUACUCGAAGAUGGUAUGGCUGUGAGUUCGACGAGUAAGGCGGGACACGAGAAAUCCUGUCUGAAGAUGGGGGGACCAUCCUCCAAGGCUAAAUACUCCUGACUGACCGAUAGUGAACCAGUACCGUGAGGGAAAGGCGAAAAGAACCCCGGCGAGGGGAGUGAAAGAGAACCUGAAACCGUGUACGUACAAGCAGUGGGAGCCUUGAUUAAUCAGGGUGACUGCGUACCUUUUGUAUAAUGGGUCAGCGACUUAUAUUCUGUAGCAAGGUUAACCGUAUAGGGGAGCCGCAGGGAAACCGAGUCUUAACUGGGCGAAUGAGUUGCAGGGUAUAGACCCGAAACCCGGUGAGCUAGCCAUGGGCAGGUUGAAGGUUGGGUAACACUAACUGGAGGACCGAACCGACUAAUGUUGAAAAAUUAGCGGAUGACCUGUGGCUGGGGGUGAAAGGCCAAUCAAACCGGGAGAUAGCUGGUUCUCCCCGAAAG
rnacentral:rRNA from 1 species